CGCCUGCCACCACGCCCGGCUAAUUCUUUUGUAUUUUUAGUAGAGACAGGGUUUCGCUAUGUAGACCAGGCUGGUCUCGCACUCCUGGCCUCCAGUGAUUCACCCACCUCGGCCUCCCAGAGUGCUGGAAUGACACGUAUGAACCACCACACCGACCUUUUUAUUAUUUUUAUCCACCAUCUCGCUGCAGUUUCAGUAUUGCCCAUCGACCUAUAUUGCCUCCUGGUAAUGACCCCUGAGGAAUGAGCCAUGCCAUUUCCAUAAGUGGAGGCGACAGGUCAUGGUGGUGAGAACUUCACUGACCUGGAAGAGGUGGAGAAGAUGCUGGGAAGCUGCUGGGGGCUGCCCACCUGUGGUAGGAGCAGGCAGAUGGGGACCCAUGGGGACAGUAAUACUAUUUUGGAUCCACACAACAUGAGUGGAAAAUGCCUUAAGGCACAGCAGCGUCUGAGGCGGGUGAGAAAUCCGGCCUGCAGAGUCGCGGCUGGCCUUCAGAUCUGCGGGCUGCCUGUGAGAUGCCGUGUUACCUAAAUCCGUUUGGGCACUGAGUUCCAGGAGUGGGGGCAAGAAUUCUGAUGACGGGGCUUUAUCCGGUGCGCAUCCAGCUCAGAGUGGUUCCUGAGAUCAGCCACUAUGGGCAGCCAGGAUGUGCUCGUCCUUGAGGCUUUCUGAGGCAUCAAGGAGACGGUUGGAUAAAGAAUUUAGCACAGAGCUUGACUGACGGCAGGCGCCCUCUACAUGAGACACAUUAGUAAUGUCUGUGGAGGCCAGGUGCAGUGGUUCAUGCCUGUCACCCCAGCACUUUGGGAGGCAGAGGUGGGAAGAUUUCUUGAGGCCAGGAGUUCAAGACCAGCCUGGGCAACACAGCGAGACCUCAUCUCUACCAAAAAAAAAAAGGAAAAAAUUCACCUGGCCUGGUGGUGCACACUUGUAGUCUCCGCUACUCAGGAGGCUGAGGCAGGAGGAUUGCUUGAGCUCAGGAGUUCCAGGCUGCAGUGAGCUAUGAUUGCAUCACUGCACUCCAGUCUGGGCAAUAGAGCAAGACCCUGUCUCUUAAAAAAAUAAAGUCUCUUGAAAAGAAUGAAUGAAGGAAGGAAGGAAGGAAUGAGAAGGAAACCCUGUCUCUGCUCCUCCAGCAGGGAAGCUGGGGCAGGGCAGGCAGGGGGAGCAUCCGGCCCCGCUCCCUCCCUUACUCUGGCCCAGAAAGCACUGGUGCCAUCUGCACAGGGUGGAGCCAAAGUAAGUGCCCCACUCACAGCAGAGGGAGGCCAUUUGAGGACAGCAGGGAAAAUGGGAUCUCAGCCAUCUACGAGGGGGCCAGAGAUGUGGGAUGGACACCUAGGAAAUCCAGCCGAGGACACCAGAGUGGCUUUUGACUCUGGUCCCCUGGCUGAACGCGUUCCCUUUACAGUUUAAAUUUAGGCUCAAGGAGAAGAAGCUGGCAAUUGGCAGGGCCAGUGCUGUAGAGAGGAUGUAGGGUUUCCGGGAAAUAGCCAACACUUCAGCAGUGCUGGCUGUGUGCUCAUCCAAGCAUGUUACGGAUGUUAACUCAUUUCCUCUCCAGCAACCCUGUGAGAGGGUCUGAGUGUUCCCAUCUCCAUUUUACAGAGGCUCAGAGAGGUGCAGUCCUUUGCCUGAGGUCACACAGCUAGUAAGAGGCAGAGCCGGGAUUUGAACCCUGGCAGUCUGGCCCUAGAGCCCCCGGCUGUUAACCGUUAGGCUUUACUGCCCCAGUUAUAACAAUAAUACUACUACUAAUAAAAGUGAAUCUUCAUUGAGUGCUAUUUAUAGAUCAAGCACUAUUCUAAGGAUUUUAAAGCAUAUUUAAUUCUCACAGCACUCUGAUGAAGGAGGUAUUCAUUUUACAAUUGAAGAAACAGAGGCCUAGAGACAUUGAGUCACUUGCGCAAGGUCACACAGCUGGCCAGUGGCAGAGCCGGCCUUUGAACCUGAGCCUUCUGGUUGCAGAGCUACGGCUUUUAGGAACUGUGCUGAGGGCCUCCAGAAUGACACAGAUGUGCCCUCGAGUUACACAGGGAGGCAGGUUGAGGGUGACCCCCACCAGGCCUACCCAAGGCUGGGUGUUAAUAAUCACAGUGCAUACACCAGGCCCAGGGAGGUUGAGCCACUUGUCCAAGUUCACACAGCAAGCUCACAGCACACUCAGGCUGUCAUGCAGCCUGGGCCACCCCCUUAACCCUGCCUGGCCCCUGCAGCCAACAGAGACAUGGCAUCCAUCGUGUCUGAGAUCAUGAUGUAUGUGCUCAUUGUGGUGUUGACCAUAUGGCUCGUGGCAGAGAUGAUUUACUGCUACAAGAAGAUCGCUGCCGCCACGGAGACUGCUGCACAAGAGAACGCGUGAGUAGGGUGGCUGGGAGGCGGGAGGGCACCCAGGGCACCGUCACACUUGCCAGAGAGGAACUCCGGAGCCCGGGCAGGGAGGAGGCAGCGGAGCGGCCCAGGGCGCCAUCUCUCAGUACUACCCAGAGGGGAGCGCUCCCUGUCAGACACAGGAUAGGGGUUGUCAGACCCAGCCCCUUCCUCCCUCAAACUCAGGAGCCCAGGCUCCCAGCCAGAUUCCUCAAAGACCCUGAGGAGUCCACCCAUAGACUCCUUCUCUCUCUAACUAAGGAGCCCUGUGUACCUGGGGUGGAGACCGCUAUCUUCCCCCAUCCCCUGGGGGUUGGGUCGGUCUGAUGAUGGGGUCACUGUAUACCUGGCCUUUCCCCCACAGCUCGGAAUACCUGGCCAUCACCUCCGAAAGCAAAGAGAACUGUACGGGCGUCCAGGUGGCCGAAUAGCCCUGGCCCUGGGCCCCGCCUCAAGGAAGAGCCAGCCCUAAUGGGGACUCUCCAGGCACCGCCUGCCCCCAGUGUGGGGGUGGCCACUCCUGGGCCCCAGAAAGCCUCAGAGUCCUGCCGACGGAGCCGCUGGGGUGGGAGGGGGCGGGGGGCUUGGCUCGCACCCCCCACUUUCGCCUCCUCCAGCUCCUGCCCCGCCGGCCGCGCACCGCCAUGCAUGAUGGGUAAAGCAAUACUGCCGCUGCCCCCACCCUGCUUCUGCUGCCUGUUUGGGGAGGGGGGCGGUGAGGUGGGGGCAGCGGCCCCGCACCCCUCCUCCUUGCUGAUUUGCACACAUUGGCCCCUUCAGACACGCACUUCUGGGGCCAGCCCCUCCCCGCCUCCCCCCUGCCUGGCGGCAGGGGUCGCGAUGAUGGGCUGGAGCAGUUUGGGGCAGGGGGAUCUGGGACCCACUCCGACUCCCCCUCCCCGGCAUCAUUUCCCCUUCCGCUUCCUCCGGCUGGACCUGGGGUCCCCCGUCCCUGUAAUGCACUCCUGCCCCGGCCCAACCUCGCCCUCUCUCACCAGCCUUGAACUGUGGCCCCCUAGAAAGGGGCCCAUUCAGCCUCGUCUCUCUUUACAGAAGUAGUUUUGUUCAUGAAAUAAAGACUCUUGGACUUGA
rnacentral:sRNA from 1 species